GUGGGGAAUCUUCCGCAAUGGACGAAAGUCUGACGGAGCAACGCCGCGUGAGUGAAGAAGGUUUUCGGAUCGUAAAGCUCUUUCGUUAGGGACGAACGUGCUCUUUGUGAAUAAUGAGGAGUAAUGACGGUACCUAAAUAAGAAGCCACGGCUAACUACGUGCCAGCAGCCGCGGUAAUACGUAGGUGGCAAGCGUUGUCCGGAAUUAUUGGGCGUAAAGCGCGCGCAGGCGGGAUAUCAAGUCUGUCUUAAAAGUGCGAGGCUCAACCUCGUGAGGGGACAGAAACUGGUAUUCUUGAGUGUCGGAGAGGAAAGUGGAAUUCCAAGUGUAGCGGUGAAAUGCGUAGAGAUAUGGAAGAACACCAGUGGCGAAGGCGACUUUCUGGACGAUGUCUGACGCUGAGGCGCGAAAGCUAGGGGAGCGAACGGGAUUAGAAACCCUGGUAGUCC
rnacentral:rRNA from 1 species